rnacentral:lncRNA from 1 species
GCAAAAGAACCUGAAAUUAUUUUUGUUUCUGCCAGUAUGAGCACCUGGUGGAUUCAGUCUAGAAGAUGGAUGUAUGACAAGAUAUGGCAUCCAGAACCAGAGAAACAAAGUCACAUUGCCUCUCUUAUGGUAAGUCAACUGGACACAGAAAAGCCACCAUGGAAGCUCAAAACUGUCUUUUGCUUAGAUAAAAUUACUAGAAAGAAAAUUUUCCUUCUGCAUUGAAAACAGGAAUGAUGCUGGACCCUUGCUAGGUGACAUACUAGGCAAUAUUGCAAUCAGACCUUAUAGUUUGAUUCCACAGAUGGCAUUCUUGCACUUCUUACACAGACCAUAGGUGGUCCUGAUGCUGACUCAUGAAAUCAAUAUUUAUCAAAUCACCAGAUGUUAUGGAUGGCUCACAAGCCAGCCCUGGUGUGCAACUUGGGGUAGCUUACCUGUCAGAUACUAAAGAUUACAUAUGGAUAGACCCAAAGUCUGGACUGAUUUGGCUAGGUGACAAAACCAAGCCCUAUAACAGCCAAAACUAAAGGUCUUUUAUAUAAAAUAUUUCACAACCUGUUUUGCUCCCACAGAUUGACAGGGAGACAUGAUAGCUGCAGAUGUGGAAAUGCCAAUAACAAAGAAGACAAGGCACAGCAAACUUCAGGCUGAGGCGCCACAGGCUUCACCCUGACCCUAUCUGUAAAUAACAGCGGCCUUUUAAUAUUGCGUGGUAACAAGAUAUACAAGUGGUUCCCACCUAGAUACUCAGGGUGCUGUGGACUCAGUUAUCUGACAUCCUCUGUUACUAGGUACUCCACUUUAAAUGGCAGCCAAAUUACAAAUGGGCCUUUUUGUUCAUAAAGUGGUGCCACACAGAGGUAAUGAAUGUGACUUUGUAAAAAACCCACCUAUAUAUCACAAAUCUAUGUUCUUUUCAGUCCUCAGAACUUUUCCCCUGGCAUUUGGAACUUAAGAAAAUGAAAGGGCAGUUUAAAAUCUUUCCAUGGCAAUAGAACAAGACUUCAGUAUCACUACCCAAGCCUUGGGAGCACUCCAGUCAGAAGUCAACAGUCCAGCUUCUGCUGUACUUUAGAACUGCUGCAGCCUGAAUGUGCUGACAGCCCAACAGGGAGGAGCUUGUGCAGCUAUUGGUGACAAAUGCUGUUUCUACAUAAACCGCUCAGGGCAAGUAGAGACUGAUCUGCACCUCUUGAAGGUCAAGGUAAAAUAUUAUCCAUCAGGUAAACAAGGCUAAACUGUUCUAUUGGUCUGACCUAUUCCUGGGAAUGGGAGACUGGUUUAAUGGGGUGUGGGGAAGUGUGCUUAGAUAUGUUCUUUUCUCAUUUUAAUCUAUGUUCUUUUCUUCCUUUUCAGAUCUCUUACUACCCAGCUACUAAACCAACUUCUCUCUCCAGAGCCACUAACUUAGGAUUUUUUUUUUUUUUUUGAGACAGAGUCUCACUCUGUCACCCAGGCUGGAGUGCAGUGGUGUGAUCUUGGCUCACUGCAACUUCCGCCUCCCAGGUUCAAGCAAUUCUCUGCCUCAGCCUUCCAAGUAGCUGGAAUUACAGGUGCCCGCCUAUAAUCCAUACCCAGCUAAUUUUUGUAUUUUUAGUAGAGACGGGGUUUCACCAUCUUGGCCAGGCUGGUCUUGAACUCCUGACCUCAUGAUCCACCUACCUUGGCCUCCCAAAGUGCUGGGAUUAUAGGCAUGAGCCACCGCGCCCGGCCUAACUCAGCUUUUUAUGUGUGAAACUUCUAGGGGAGUUCCAGACAGGGAGAAUGAAUAAGCUCCUUGGUAUAAUGUAUAUUUUGAAUUAAAAGACUUUAUAAAUCAACAGGCCUCAGAAGAAACUUAUCCCCUAACUUCAAAAAGAUCAGAUAGGCCCAUCAAGAACAAUUGCCUUUUCUUCCCUUCCCUGUUAUCUCACUAUUUCAGGAAAGAAGAGGAAGAAUAUAACCAUACCAGAACCAACCAUUUUACAAAAUAAUACCUGUCUCUCAGGUUCUUUUAACUUCCAAAGAAAACCAUUUACAAGUCAAUUUCUGUUCUCACCUUCCAUUCAUUCUCCUAAGUACCUAUUCAUUUUUCCUUAGUAAUUAUUUAAUGCCCCUCAACCAGAAUUACCUCUAUAUUCCCCAUCUUCCCCCUCCCCUCUGAAAGAGGUUAUAGAAGUGUCUGGGCCCUGUUGGGAAAUUGGGUAAUCACUCUAUGAUUCUUCUCGAGCACAUGGUUAAAUAAAUUUGUAUGCUUUUUGUCCUAUUAAUCUGCCUUACUGUAAAUUGAUUUUUUUCAGCAAACCCUCUGAGGGCAAGGGGAAAGCUCCUCCAAUGCCCAUACACAAGUGAAGAAGAUCAAGAAGAAUUUAUCACAAACCUGCCUUGCUAUACAAGUGUCUGAUGUACAAAAGACUGAAGUGAAAUACUUGUUAGCACCAAUAAAAUAUAACUCAGUGACAAAUUUUCUAAAAAGAACUUUGUAUCUAGGAUUGAUAGGCUUGGAAAAAUCUUACAAACUUUUCUUCAACAUCUGAAAGUGUUUUUCAGUCUAUAGUAAUUGUCAGGCCUCUGAGCCUAAGCUAAGCCAUCAUAACCCCUGUGACCUGCACGGAUACAUCCAGAUGACCUGAAGCAACUGAAGAACCACAAAAGAAGUGAAAUAGUCAAUUCCUGCCUUAACUGAUGACAUUCUACCACUGUGAUUUGUUCCUGUCCCACCCUAACUGAUCAAUUGAGCUUGUGACAUUCCUUCUCCUGGACAAUGAGUCUCAGGAGCUCCCCACCGAGCACCUUGUGACCCCCACCCCUACCCUCAAGAGAAAACCCCUUUAACUGUAAUUUUCCACUACCUACCCAAAUCCUAUAAAACUGGCCCACCCCAUCUCCCUUUGCUGACUCCUUUUUCAGACUCAGUCUGCCUGCACCCAGGGAAUCAAAAAGCUUUAUUGCUCACACAAAGCCUGUUUGGCCGUCUCUUCACACAGACGUGUGUAACAGUAAUAAUAUUAUUUUAUUUUUUUGAGACAGGGUUUCACUCUGUUGUGCUGGCUGGAGUACAGGGGUGUGAUCAUGGUUCACUGCAGCCUCAACCUCCCUGGGCUCUAGUGAUCCUCCCACCUCAGCUUCCUGAGUAGCUGGGACCACAGAUGUGCACCACCACACCCAGCUAUUUCUUGGUAGAGAUGUUUUUUUGCCAUGUUGCCCAGGCUGGUCUUGAACUUCUAGGCUCCAGUGAUCCACUUGCUUUGAUCUCCCAGUGUUGGGAUUACAGGCAUGAGCCACCAUGCCCAGCCCUUAGUAAUAAUUUUAAAAAGUCUUUUAGUUUGAAGUUUUUGAUAGCCUGAGAACUGAGGCAGCAUCUUCUUAAAUUAUUCUUGUAAAAUCUGUGGGUUUGAAGUUUGAUUAAUGAGAACACAAUGUGUUUUUCCAAUGCUUCAUAUAGUGUCCCUUGUUCACAUUCCUGUUUUAUUCUUACUGCUUGUGUUCUUUAUUAUGGCUGGAUUGGUACUAGAAAAAACAAACCUUGUUUGUGUAUGAGUGUGGAUGUGUCUGACAAGUACUUGAAAUGUGACUUACAUGAUUUUGCUGUUUUUCUUUUUCAUGAAAUAUUAAGGUGGGAAAGUUGACAUUUUGCUUUUAAUUCAACAUAAUAUGAUGUGAAGAAUUUCCAAAUAAGAUUGUUUUCAUGUAAGACUCAUGGCCUAGAU